GCCAGCCCGCUCAAGAACUCAAAGGAAUUGACGGGGCCGCACAAGCGGUGGAGCAUGUGGUUUAAUUCGAUGAUACGCGAGGAACCUUACCUGGGCUCGAACGUAAGAUGACUGUAGGUGAAAGCUUACAUCUCUUCGGAGCAUUUUACGAGGUGCUGCAUGGUUGUCGUCAGCUCGUGCCGUGAGGUGUCGGGUUAAGUCCCAUAACGAGCGCAACCCCUACCUUUAGUUGCCAUCAGGUAAUGCUGGGGACUCUAAAGGAACUGCCUACGCAAGUAGUGAGGAAGGCGGGGAUGACGUCAAAUCAGCACGGCCCUUACGUCCAGGGCUACACACGUGCUACAAUGGCCGAUACAGAGGGCAGCUACCUGGUGACAGGAUGCAAAUCUCCAAAGUCGGUCUCAGUUCGGAUCGGAGUCUGCAACCCGACUCCGUGAAGUUGGAUUCGCUAGUAAUCGCGCAUCAGCCAUGGCGCGGUGAAUACGUUCCCGGGCCUU
rnacentral:rRNA from 1 species